rnacentral:misc_RNA from 1 species
UUAACUAUUAUAUAGUACUCAGACGACAAUAAUAAUAUGAGUUUUGAGUCCUCUGGCGGCCGCUGACCAGCCGGAGCCGGUUGUCUUGCGACGGGGCCGCCAAAGCAACAAAGGUAUUGUAAACAAAGGGUGGGAGGUCUACCCCGAAGGGCAUGAUCUCAUUAAUGAUCCUUCCGCAGGUUCACCUACGGAAA